UAGCAUCUGUCAGUAGUUGGUGUGCAAACCCCCAGUGAGAAGUGUGCCUAUGCAAGCUCACACAACGCUGUCUACACGCUUGCUGGGUAAUCAUCAUCUCAGAUCUUGAGCUUUAAUUAAAAGGGAUUAAUGCUGCUAAUCCACUGUUCCCAAAUUUGGCCACCUGCUUGUGCAACCUGUUUGUGCAAUGGUUGCAUAUCUAUGAUGUGUUGCUUCAUGGCUCUGCAAAAUGCAGGAUAAAUGGUAUAACGAGGCCAGCGGCCUCAUAGUGUGACAACUGUUAGAUCCCAAGGGGUCUCACUGCCUCAUACAGUUACAUGGAUGUGGAUUUCUCCUCCUGUGAGAAGAUCUGGAAGAGCUAGAAGCAUACCAAUAAGCACUCUUGGGUGACAAUAAGCAACAGCUCUAAGAUACGAACCAAAUGGUUUUGCAGUCUGUGGUUUUUAUAUUUUGGUUGUCACUGUUUUGUGAUGUGACACUGGUACAAUCCAAUGCCUUGCACAUACACAGCAUAGCAAAGAAGAAGAGCGAUGCCGUCUGAUGUUCAUACAUGCAGUGGAUGCAGUGCUGUCAGUAUCUGCCUUAUGGAAAGUAGAUAAGCCACAAAUUCCAAGCUUCAUCCUCAGAAAUACUGAAAGAAGUAGUUGAGGAAAUCUGUUAAAGAUGCUGAUAAUGCCGAGGAAGAAUCAGGAAGAACAAGGAGAGAAGUAGGAAUAGUCACAAAAGGCGAUACCAAGGAAAGUCAUGAAGAAAUGAGACAGAAAAGCUGUCAAGAAAACCCUGUAUUAGCACAGCUACUGAUGGGUCAAGACCAAACAGGAGAUGCAGCACAAAGGAAGAGCAUGGACAUUUAAACAGAGCUUGUUUGCAUCCUGAUUGAUACUGGCUGUGAGUACUGUCCCACUUUGACCAAUUCCUCCCAAAUUUUAAUGUUCUUACACUAUUGCUGUCUGUUCCAUUUUAAUUGUAAACCCAACCUAAUGUGUUGAGGUUUUUUAUACUCUAUUGAGUGUUCAGCAUCUGGUUGGCAAUCACAGAUGUUCACUAGCAAGCACUGUUUGGUUCCUGAGCAGUCCUCUCCAUAUCAAGUGGUCUUUUGAUCUUCACUUAAAUACCAGGUUUGAAAAUGAUCUGAUAAGUAAUGCUUGUCCUGAAUUCUGUAACAUUAAGCAGCUGCUACUUUUCAACUUGAUGUGGUUAAAAGUGACUUUAACCCUUGAUUUCUGUGGAUAGAAUCUAGUGAUAGAAUCAAGGACUCUGGAUAUGAUCCCUUGGUUUCUCUAGUGAUUCACUUUGUGGUCUUGUGCAGUUACUUAACCACGUUUCUACAGCUACAAAUUAAGGGCAGUAAUUUUUCAGUACCUCACAAGAAAGUUGUUUAGAGAGCACGAGGGAAUUUCUGUGAUACUUUGAAAACUCAAAAUGUCAGCUGAAUUAUGUCUUCUUUUUAUUAUUAAUAUUGCACUUGUAGUUAAGAGACUUGUAAUCCUUUGAGAUGAAAAAUGCCAUAAAUGCAAGAUUUGUGCUUGAAAAGUUCAAUGAAAAAUUAAGGCAUUUCUGUUCUCUAAAAAAAAAAAACCCAACCUAGUUCUGUCUCCUAAUGCUAAGAUAUAGCCUAUUGAUAUUCAAGCAGCAAACAGAAUACCAUUACUUUUGUGAUUCGAAUAUGAACUGUGUUAUUAAUGUUUUGAGGGUGCAAGUGAAAGGGCAUUAUAUCUUUGCUGAACAGAUAUAGGUCACCCUGAUCAGAACCAAUAUUGAGCUGUGGUAGGAGCAAGUGGACAAAAAAUGACCAAAAAAUGCCUUUGUAUAUAUUCCAGCAGUGACCUUUCAGGGAAGUUACCAGGAAAUAACAUGAAAUUAAAUAUCAGAAAACAUUAAAUAUCAAAUGAAAUAUCAGGAAACAUCAAAUUAAAGAAAAUGUUAAUUUAGUUGUAAGACUGUUACUGAACGAUAUGGCAGUGAAGAAGACAAACCUGUUAUUCAUGCCUGUGCCCUUUAGAAAAGGUUGCAGAUGGGACCACUGAGCCAUAGCCCGUUGUGGGAAGAUGUCUAGUGUAAAAUUAAGGGACUGAUCCUGGUGUAUAAAGCGAUAACAAAUCUUCCUCCGUAAGGGUUGUUAAGACAGAGGAUCAGCUCCACUCUGGGUCCAUUUAAACUUUAAAUCCUGAAAUGCAGGUUAGGGGCUUGCACGGGGAGAUAACCUGACUUUUCAUUAGAGCAGCACUAAGAUGGUUAAUCUAUAUGUUCAGAAUUACAGUUUUUAUUGCAAACAUUGUAAGAUCUCUCUCCCGAGAGGGAAUGUGUAAUACCUCCUUUCUGCCUAGCUUCUCCUAAGGCUGAAAAUACUGAAUCAUACAUCCUGCUCUGAUUAUAAAGAGUACUCUUGGAGUUCCCACAGCUUUUUGCUAACUGGUUUGAAAGGUACAUUUUGUAACCAUCUUGUUGUCUGGAGAGCAUUGCUGUGUUGGAAAUGGAAUAGUUAUAGCCACAGGGCUCUGAAGAGAGCUAAUUACAGCAAUUUAGAACAACAAAAGUUCUGUUCCUGGGGGGACACUGAAGAGAUCCUUCCCCAGAGCAGCAUGCCACGAUUUCAGAGGCAAUUUAUUGUAAUAUUCCUGCAUAAGUCAUCUGGUGUACCAAGGAUUUACAAAUCUGGCUGUCUUAUUAUGGUUUGUUCUCUCAGCCCGUAUGUUAUCAGGGGCACUCAUGCAUGUCUUGUAGCAUUCCUGGAGAUAUAAAAAUGGAAAACCUGUCAAUCAAAUGUUGUCUAUCUUACUUUAACCUAGCUACCACUCAGAACAAAGCUGUUCAAAUGCAGAGAAACAAUCUUCUAUCAUGCUGAUGUGGCUUUCCACCUUGAGACAAAUCCAUUGAGCUUCGAGAGAAGAGUUUUCAAAUCAAUUGUGAUUCUCUUAGUGUGGUGUCAUGGAUUUUCUUCAUAUUUUUCAUAAAAAGAAAUUGUUGCCUUUCAACUUACCAGAACAAGUUGAUAAAAGAGUAGGUCAGCUCUCUUCUGUCACAUUCACAUUUGCCAAGCAGACAGCAGUUCUUGGUAUCUGUUCCUGUACACAGGUUAACAAUGGAAGUGCUAUUACUGGAAUGGUAUUUUGACAUUCAGACCUACGUUUUUCUUUCUUAAUUUUUCUUUAAGAUUUGAUGAAUUACUUGCUGUGGGCCUGUUUCUGCUGUACAAGUGAUUUGUAUUAGUCAAAGAGAACGUUGUUUGCUGAAGGACUGCCAAGCCAGGUGCUGGGCAAACAGGCUGCUAGUAGUGCUGUGAGAGCCUGAGGCCUGGCUAUUUACUGCUCAAGUGUGACUUGUGCAAAUGUUUCUUCCUUGCUUUUUGCAUACUUUAUCUGAUGACUGACAGGAUGUUGAACUGUGUGGUUGGUUGGGCAGCGCACAGAGCUCUUUCUAGGGAUUAUGGUUUAGUGCUCUGAUUCACAGUUCAGUCUCAUAGGUAGGCUGUUCUGUGGGCACCCAGCUGGCUGACAAAGCAGGACUGCUUGUUCUGCUGACGUUGUACAAGGGUAUUGAAAAGCUAUGAAUGGAGGUAGCAUAAAGCAAGAUUUAAAAAGGUUAUCUGAUGCUUUUAUUCCACUGUAGAAAGCAGCAAGAACUUGUCAUUAUGUUGCUGUGUGUAAUUAACGAGUGGGUGAACGCUCCUGUGGGACCAGUGCUCUGCUCCAUUCAAUCCUAACCUGGCUAGGUGAGUCUGGCUAGAUGGUGACAAAGAGUUCAGCGAAGAGUAGCUGGAGUGGGAAGGCAGAAAAGCUUCUGAAAAUCUGAUUGCGACAGAAAUGAAAUGUACCUAGUCACGUUUCUGGUGCUUUGUGUGGAGGUCUCUGAACCUGUCCCUAAAAUGAGUGCUUCACACUUUGCUCCCUUCCACAAGCAUCUGUGAAGGUACAAAGUCAACCCUGUUAUAGGAUCUGGUGAAAUUAAGGGUGUGUGUGUGUGUGUUUGUCAGAUUUUCUUCAAAAUCAAUUGUGUUCUGCUAUUGAUAUCUAUGGUUUAACUCCAGUUUUGGGAGUUUAUUUGAAUGUAAAACAUGUGCCAGGUAAGUACAGACAGAGCUGAAUGAAAGCCCUUAUUUUACAUCCACUGUACUUGCACCUUGCUCUGAAAGCAAGAGCAUGGCUGCUUCAAGUUUUGUAAGAGCUGUCACCCAAAGUCCUUUCACUGCUGUUUUAAAGGUCACCUCAGAUUUACGCAUUAGAUCAGGUUAAUGUGUUAUUAAUCAAUCAGGAACUGGUUGAAAAUUAUUGGAUUCUGCACUUCUGUGAUACAUGUUAAAUAGGAAUUCUACUGCUAUGGCUGAAACCAUAUAGUCAUUCCCCCUGACUCCAUCACCAGCUGCUAGGCUCUGCACUGUUCUCUGAUCUGACUGGACAAGCUGCUUUUCAUUGUCUUCCCAACCCGUUGGUGAUCCUUGGAUUUUGCCCAGGCUAAUGCUCUUCUUUCUCCUUCUUCCUCUUUCAUCUUCUGCUUUGCACAUUCCAUCAUCACAUCUGCUCUGCUGAGAGUGGAAGUGCCUCUUUAGCACACUGCUUCCAUCUCCGCUUACUCACUCUUUCUCAGGUUUUGUGAUGCUAUCCUCUCUCAAAUUCUCAUCAUGAUUUGUGACCAAGAACACCUUCACCUUUGUGAUAUCAAAUAUGGCUUCAACAGCACUGUGUUCAUAUCUAGAGAUGGUGUGAGUGGUACCCCCUACUCUGCUUUAUGAUAUUAGUGUUGAUUAAUAAUUAUGCUUGUGCUGUGGUAAAGCAUUAAGGUGGAGAAUCCCAGCCACACUGUGGCUGCUCUUUUAAUUCAUCUUUAUUACUGAACAAAGCAGACUCUUCCAUUUCAAAGAGCUUACAGCUUUUUUAUGACCAGUGCUGUUGGUUGUUUAUUAGAACACCUUUUCCUGCUGAUUAAUUUGUAUUUUAAGUCUAUUUUUAAAAUUAUUUUUCUGUUGUGUCUUUUAAAACAUGUGUUUAUUACUUUUCUAUGAGUCCCCAAGUGCCUUAGCUGGCAAAGUCUUAAUGAAUAAAACGACUGUCAUGUUAUAGCUAUAAAAAUCCGCUCCCUCAUUGGAAUGGGAUGUGCAAGUUUGAGGAAGCUGAGGGAAACGGGGAAUAUAUUUAUUUUGGAGUUAAGUAAAACAGGAUAAAUACAUAUGAAAAAUAUAAAAUUAUUUUGCAGUCACAAACCGCUAAUGUGUUGAUCUUCCUAAUUCUACCUUAAGCGCAUAAACCAAGUAGUGUAUGUGUACUGUCAUCACAGUGAUGCUUGCUCUGUAGGACAGAUCCAGCAAGCUAACUUUGUAGCAGCUGAAUGCUGACAGUAAUCUGGAAGUACCAAAGAAUUCUGUAUGUGCUCUGUGUACCUGC